rnacentral:rRNA from 1 species
GCAUCAUGUGAUUAGUACUACACUGCGUGAGCGGAACGAAAACAAAAACACCUAAAAUGUGGAAUACUAGCAUAUAGUCGACAAGAGAAAUCUACGAAAAACAAACAAAACUUUCAACAACGGAUCUCUUGGUUCUCGCAUCGAUGAAGAGCGCAGCGAAAUGCGAUACCUAGUGUGAAUUGCAGCCAUCGUGAAUCAUCGAGUUCUUGAACGCACAUUGCGCCCCUCGGCAUUCCGGGGGGCAUGCCUGUUUGAGCGUCGUUUCGCAUCUUGCGCGUGCGCAGAGUUGGGGGAGCGGAGCGGCUACGACGUGUAAAGAGCGUCGGAUUUCGCUGCGACCUUCGCCUGAAAGGGAGCGAAGCUGGCCGUUAGCGAAAGUCUAGACUUUUUUUCAGGGAUUUCGCUUGGCGGCCGAGAGCGAGUGUUGCGAGACAACAAAAAGCUCGACCUCAAAUCAGGUAGGAAUACCCGCUGAACUUAAGCAUAUCAAUAAGCCGGAGGAAAGUUCCCCUACGGAAGG